AGGUUAUAAAACAUCAAAGAGAAAGUGUGACUCAUCCUGAAGAGGAAUGAGUAUCAACCAAAGAGAAAUAUAAGGACUUUGAAUUUGUUUGGAAAGAAGUAUAUGUGGAGCAAACUAGCUUUGGUCCAACAAACA